AUACUUACUUGGACGGGUCAAUGGACGAUCAUAGAGGCCUAUGGCUUAGGCGGUGACUUUCAUUGCAUUCUGAAAGGGUGCCAGUCUAAGGUCUGUCCAAGCGGUGGAGCCUAAGUCAUAAUUUGUGGUAGUGGGGCUUGCGCUCGCGCAGCCCCCAU